GCGCGCACCGCCUUAUGGGGCGGGGCCUCCACGUAAGGGUAAGGCGCACGCUGCCCCGUGGGGCGGGGUCUCCACGUGAGGGCGAGGCGCGCGCUGCUCAGUGAGGUGCGGUUUCCACGUGAGGGCGAAGCGAGCGCUGCCUUGUGGGGCGGGGCCUCCACGUGAGGGUAAGGCGCACGCUGCCCCGUGGGGCGGGGUCUCCAUGUGAGGGCGAGGCGCGCGCUGCUCAGUGAGGUGCGGUCUCCACGUGAGGACAGACGAACGCUGCCUUGUGGGGCGGGGCCUCCACGUCAGGGAAAAGGACCUCUCAAAAGACUGGAGGUUUAACAACAAAUGAGGAUUUGCUUCAAUUUGUGUAUUUUUUGACACAAAGUUUUCUCAAAACAGCGGGCACCUGUGGGUCCGAAUUGUUCAAUAAUCCUCAAAGAACGAAAGCCACCGAGAAAAGCGUUUAAAGGGCAGUUGAGAUAACAGCCGGUGCCUGGACUUGGCCAAGCGGAAACCCUCGAGGGCAGUGGCUCUCAAAGUGUAGUGCCUGGACUGGACCAGCAGCAGCAGCGUGAUCACCGGGAAACUUGUUAGAAAUGCAAAUUCUUGGGCCUCACCCUAGACCUACUGAAUCACUGUAAAGAUGCGGCCCAGCAGUCUGUGUUUUAGCAAGUCCACCACGUGAUUCUGAUGCAGGCUGAAGUUAAGAACCAUUGCUUGGCGCAGUGGUUAAGAAUCCGCCUGCCAAUGCAGGGGACACGGUUUCGAGCCCUGGUCCAGGAAGAUCUCAUAUGCUGUGGAGCAACUAAGCCUGUGCGCCACCACUACUGAGCCUGCGCUCUAGAGCAAGCGAGCUACAACUACUGAGCCCACGUGCUACAACUGCUGAAGCCUGCGUGCCUAGAGCCCAUGCUCCGGAACAAGAGAAGCCACUGCAAUGAGAAGCUCAUGUACCCCAAUGAAGAGUAGGCCCUGCUCGCUGCAACUAGAGAAAGCAACAAAGACCCAACACAGCCAAAAAUAAAUAAAUAAAAUAAAUAAAUUUAUAUAUAAAAAAAGUUUCAUUUUCUCUAAAAUUAGACAUUACC